CUGGCGGCGUGCUUAACACAUGCAAGUCGAACGGGGCGAAGUGAUAGCUUGCUAUUAUGGAGCCUAGUGGCAAACGGGUGAGUAGCGCGUAGGCAACCUGCCCUUCAGAUGGGGACAACACCUCGAAAGGGGUGCUAAUACCGAAUGACGUUUCCUAGUCGCAUGACCUGGAAACCAAAGGCCGGGCAACCGGUCACUGAAGGAUGGGCCUGCGUCUGAUUAGCUAGUUGGUGGGGUAACGGCCCACCAAGGCGACGAUCAGUAGCCGGUCUGAGAGGAUGAACGGCCACAUUGGGACUGAGACACGGCCCAAACUCCUACGGGAGGCAGCAGUGGGGAAUAUUGCACAAUGGGCGAAAGCCUGAUGCAGCAACGCCGCGUGAGGGAAGACGGCCUUCGGGUUGUAAACCUCUGUCCUCAGUGACGAAUAAAAUGACGGUAGCUGAGGAGGAAGCCACGGCUAACUACGUG
rnacentral:rRNA from 1 species